AAUUCUCAACCUCUUCCAUUUUUAUUAAUGGGUUAGGCUUGGAUGUGGGGGUUGCGGGCUUCUAAGAAGUCGGCUCUCCUUAAAUGCAUUAGCGGAACCUUUGUGGACCGUCUUUGGUGUGAUAAUUAUCUACGCCAUGGUCGAGAAGCAGUUUUACAUGGGGUUCAGCUUCUAACUGUCUAUUUAUUUGGACAACUUUUGACA
rnacentral:misc_RNA from 1 species